UACGAAGGGUGCAAGCGUUACUCGGAAUUACUGGGCGUAAAGCGUGCGUAGGUGGUUUGUUAAGUCUGAUGUGAAAGCCCUGGGCUCAACCUGGGAAUUGCAUUGGAUACUGGCAGGCUAGAGUGCGGUAGAGGAUGGCGGAAUUCCCGGUGUAGCAGUGAAAUGCGUAGAGAUUGGGAGGAACAUCUGUGGCGAAGGCGGCCAUCUGGACCAGCACUGACACUGAGGCACGAAAGCGUGGGGAGCAAACAGG
rnacentral:rRNA from 1 species